rnacentral:tRNA from 1 species
AAGGUUUUAGCUUAAUAAAAGUGUUUGAGUUGCAUUCAAUUGAUGUUGGAUAAAAUCCUGCAAGCCUUA